AGGGGAACUCCGCCCAAAAGUGUUUUUGCAUGAUGAAAGCAUCUUCCCAAUAUACAGCACAUGAAUGAACCACUCUCAGGUUAUUUGUUAAUGUUAUUGCUACUGAGAGCGGUAUCUGUUUAUAUUUUCUGCACUGCUGCUUCUGACUCCCGGCACAAUGUAGCAGGAGGAAGGUGAUUGCUGCUACAUUGUUUAGAACCAGAGAACGGAGAGGGUGGGAUUACUGAGUAGGGUGGAAGUGCCGUCAGUCUGGCAGCUCGAGUAGGGUGGAAGUGCUGUGGGUCUGGCAGCUCGAGUAGGGUGGAAGUGCCGUCGGUCUGGCAGCUCCCUGUUGUAAAGUCUGGGGGAUUUAAUGUCACAGCAAUAAAAACAUUGUACAUAUCCCAUGUAUCCCCUCGCUCCUCCAAUCAGUCUCCUAAUCAUUAACUUGUUGUUGCCUGAUGCUAAAACCCUCAGGAGCCAACCUGCACUCAUUUACUUAAGCUUUGCUCUGAUUAAGCCUAUUUCCUGCAUUAGAAGGCAGAUACCUUAUCUGAUUGCAUUUAUUCCUAAAUAGUAGCCUCUGUGUAUUCUAACUAGCCCCUCACCUCCGCCUUAUAUAAACCCACAGCGCAAGGGUUGGAAGUGAUCGUUUGGCACGAGCCGGGGGCUUGGGAAACCUCACAGGCAGGACAAAAAGGUUGAAUUCAAUGGAUGUGUCUUUUGUCAGCCUCACCUACUAUGCCGACUUCAUAGGUGGCAGCUACGGUGAAAGCCCUGUGUCGCUACUUUCCUGGGGGAACAAAGGAGAUCAAAGGCGUUUGUGCGGCUUUAGCCCAAUCUCAGGAGCCGGACGGGCGACUCUGCUAUGAUUAAAGGGUAAGGCUAAGGUCAGGAAGGGUUUUGACCAUGGCUAGAUGAGGGAUUUGCAAGGGGCUAGUCCUACCGGGGCCUGGGGCCAAACAGAUUUUGUGAGGGCCAAUUAUUUGUCAUAAAUAGGACUGACCAACCCCUGACCCCUUUGGCUGACCUCCCUGGGUGAGACUGCCCCCCCCUCCCACCAUAUCUGCUAUCCCCCCACUUCAGUGCUAAAUCUGCUGCUCUGCUGGGGUUCAUUUACACCCCAAAUGAUAGAUCCAAGGCUAAUGAUUGCUAAAGGUGCCCAUACACGGGCCGAUUGUAUGUAUGUAUGUAUGUAUAACUUUAUUUAUA